rnacentral:misc_RNA from 1 species
GAUGAAGAACGCAGCGAAAUGCGAUAAGUAAUGCGAAUUGCAGAAUUUCCGUGAGUCAUCGAAUCUUUGAACGCACAUUGCGCCCCCUGGUAUUCCGGGGGACAUGCCUGUCCGAGCGUCAUUACAACCCUCAAGCUCAGCUUGGUGUUGGGCCCCGCCGCCCCGGCGGGCCCUAAAGUCAGUGGCGGUGCCGUCCGGCUCCGAGCGUAGUAAUUCUUCUCGCUCUGGAGGUCCGGUCGUGUGCUCGCCAGCAACCCCCAAUUUUUUUCAGGUUGACCUCGGAUCAGGUAGGGAUACCCGCUGAACUUAAGCAUAUCAAUAAGCGGAGGA